AAAUACGACAUACAAUAUAUAUCGGUUAUCUGAGCUUGGUAAUA
rnacentral:guide_RNA from 1 species